rnacentral:tRNA from 1 species
GGCGUCGUACCCAAGUGGUUUAAGGGACCGGUUUGCAAAACCGUUAUUCGUCGGUUCGAAUCCGACCGACGCCU